rnacentral:rRNA from 1 species
UACGUAGGUGGCAAGCGUUGUUCGGAAUUAUUGGGCGUAAAGGGCGCGUAGGCGGUUUGCUAAGUCAGUUGUGAAAGCCCGGGGCUCAACCCCGGAGAGUCGGCUGAUACUGGUGGACUAGAGUACGGAAGAGGUAGCUGGAAUUCACGGUGUAGCGGUGAAAUGCGUAGAUAUCGGGAGGAACACCUGAGGCGAAGGCGGGCUACUCGGCCGAUACUGACGCUGAGGCGCGAAAGCCAGGGGAGCAAACGGG